CCUUCCCCCAGAGGUGUUGUUGGUGUGGCGGAUGCAUCACAUGUACAUCAGUAGAUGGCACAGAGGAGAGGGGUUAUGUCUAUGCUCAGUGUUCUGACCUAUGAACAUCUGAAUGGUUAGUAGGCUAAUGGU